rfam:Medicago truncatula strain A17 chromosome 4, whole genome shotgun sequence.
UGGCAGUGAUUACAUAUUAUCCGCGCUUCUGAGAUCUUCUAUGAAGCAUAAUGGACUGAAUUAUGGUUGAAUUUCUUUAUAUGAGCCA